rnacentral:rRNA from 1 species
UACGGGGGGGGCAAGCGUUGUUCGGAAUCACUGGGCUUAAAGGGCGCGUAGGCGGGCCAUCAAGUCAGGGGUGAAAGCCCCCAGCUCAACUGGGGAAGUGCCUCUGAUACUGGCGGCCUCGAGGGAGGUAGGGGCGUGCGGAACUUCCGGUGGAGCGGUGAAAUGCGUAGAUAUCGGCAGGAACACCGGUGGCGAAAGCGGCGCGCUGGACCUCUUCUGACGCUGAGGCGCGAAAGCCAGGGGAGCGAACGGG